rnacentral:rRNA from 1 species
UACGAGGGGGGGCGAGCGUUGUUCGGAAUUAUUGGGCGUAAAGGGUGCGUAGGCGGUUCCGCAAGUCCUGUGUGAAAUCUUCGGGCUCAACUCGAAGUCUGCACGGGAAACUGCGGGGCUUGAGUGUGGGAGAGGUGAGUGGAAUUCCCGGUGUAGCGGUGAAAUGCGUAGAUAUCGGGGAGGAACACCUGUGGCGAAAGCGGCUCACUGGACCAUAACUGACGCUGAUGCACGAAAGCUGGGGGAGCAAACAGG